GCCGGGAAAGGGAAUAACAAUCAAAAUGUAAAUUAGAAAUACCCAAGUUAUUAAAGAUGAAAAAAAAGGAUUUAAUGUAAACUUUACACCUGUAUUAAUACACAAAAUACCAAUGUAACAAAGUACAAUUUUGCAUCAAAGUUUAAUGGUCUCUACCAAUGUAAGAUUAUGGCUAUAAAAUAUUUUUUGGUUUAAGUGUAGGUUUAAUAAUCUACCCCAAUUAUCUAAUUUCUUACAAUAUUUCUGUGUCCUUAUUUUUUCUUCUCCACCCCCUUCCCUUUAGGAAAGAAGGAAGUAUGUAGGAGAGGAAAGGGAAGAGAGAAUUGCCUGAGGCCAGGCUCCCUGUUUCAUUUUCUCCACUUUCAAUCAUCCUCUAAAAUGACAGCAUAUCUAUAACUCAUAAAAUGACCAGAACCAUUUACCCCCAGCUUAAGGGCCUGAGAUGAUGGUCUUCUGAUAAUUGCAAAAAAAAUCCUUUUUAGGAUCCAAGAACUUUAAAAAUUGGUUAAUCUUACGAAAGCUAACUGUAGCUGGAUUUGUUGUCCAAUCUCUGUAUUUUGAGAAUGUUUAGGUUUUAAUUAAAGACCUGACUGGACCAGUCUAAAGGAUGGACCAAGGAUAUCUGGGAUUAGCAUUCCUUCCUGAAAUCGUUGUAGACGCAAUUCUCUGGAAACAGCAUCAGUUUGGGGCAGGAUCAGUCAGGGAGCUGGAACGGCAGGUCUCAGUACCUCAGCAUCUCUGAAGGUAAAUCCUGUCAAGGUUGCCCUCCUGGUCUUCUAUGCUUUAUUCUAUAAACCUUACAAGCAACACAUAGAGCCAGGUGGGAGAUUCACCGGAAGAUGUGAUGAGACGGACACAUGGCGCUUGAGCACAGGUAAGCAGCCACGUGACAGAAUGUAGGUGUCUUAGGGUUUUAAUGCUGUGAACAGACACUAUGACCAAUGUAAGUUUUAUAAAGGACGACAUUUAAUUGGGGCUGGCUUACAGGUUCAGAGGUCGGUCCAUUAUUAUCAUAGCCAGAGCAUGGCAGCAUCACAGCAUCCAGGCAGGCAUGGUGUAGCAUUUUGGGGUUCGAGGAGACUUUUCGUUUGGUGAGGUAUUUGCCUAGUGUGCAUGAAGCUUUCGGUUCCAUCCCCGGUACGACCUAAAGUCAGGUCAGGUGCUGCACAUGUGGGUUCCCAGGAAGCAGGAAGAUCAGAAGUGUAAGAUCACCCUCUGCGUCACAGCCUUGGCUAUAUGAAACCCGGACUAAAUCAAACAAUCUUCCACAUUUUAACCUUGUUGCAAGAGAUAGAGGGCUGGGGAACACAGAGCUGCACUGCCUCCUCUUGGCAGCAGGGGGAAACCCACAGCAAGGAAGACUCCAAACCCACAACGGGUGCCCUCCCCCACAGCCUGGACUCCAUUCUGAGACUGUAAUUCUACAUCUGGUGGUACUGUCAAGUACCAUCUCAUUUUCUCCGGUAGUAAAAGAAACAGUGAUAAGAAACACAGGAAUCACCGUGUGCUGGGAAUUAUUUGUUAGACGCCAUCCUGUGAGCUUAUUGUAGCAUGUGCUUAGCUGGGCUCGUAAAACCUAGUCUAUUGACGACAUCAGAAAGUUGCCAACCCUUACCCACGUCACAUUAUUCACACCAGAUGUUGGUGACUUGUUUUAACUAGUCCUGUUCCCAGCACAACAGUGCGCCCAGCAGCACGUGGCUGUGCUUGGGCGAAUUUGCUCCUCCCACCCAACCCCAAACCCUGUCUGUCUGUCUCACCCCACCUACCACCCUCCUACCCCCGCUUCCUGUUUCUCUGUCUCUCUCUCUACCCCACUUCUCAAGUCUUUAGAACCUUCUGCGGGAGAGUUCUUACUGGAAUAUUCCUGAUAUACAAACUCUUCCACCGAAAUGUAACCCAUGGCCCCACAGUUAUAAACAUGCCUGUGUCCUACCACAUCUUGGCUCUGGUCACGUGCCUUCUCCGGCUGCCUCUGUGUCAGCGCUGUAACGCCCUCAUCAGCUUCCUCACUGAAUUGUCUCUGGAUGCAACUGACUUUUCUCCACAUAGUGAGCUUGAGGUUCAUGGGGCUUUUCAGCAAUUGUUCUUUUUUUUUUUUUUUCCUAAGUCAGCUUCUUUCACACAGAGCAGUUUGUGUCAUGUGCAACCGGACGCAAGUCAACUGCUGAAGGAAGCCAAGAAAUGUUGCAGGAAGACAGUCCAGGAGCCGCUGUGCUUCGAUGGAGUGUUCAUACCGUGUGGGUCUCCUUCAGCAAAGAAUGCACGCAGAGUUCUAUAAACCACAUUGAGCGCCAGGGUGUCUCUACACUGUGCGCCCUCUUUUGCUCUCUUUUCCUGUGAUAAACACCAGGACGAAAUGCAACUCCGGAAGGAGAGGGUUUCUUUGGCUUACAGGUUACAGACCAUCACUAAGGGGAGUCAGGGCUAGAGUGUAAGCAGGAACCCGGAGGCAGGGACUGAAACAGAGACUGGAGGAACACCGCUUACUGGCUCCAGCUCCACAAUUUGCUCAGCCUGCUUUCUUAUACAACCCAGAACCAACUCCCUGGAGUAGCACGGCCCACAGUGAAUGCCCGCAGACCCAUCAGAUGGAGGUGAUUCUUCAAUUGAGGUUCUUUCUUCCCAGGUGACCCUAUUUUAUAUCAAGUCGGCAGAAGCUAAGCCACACACUGGGCUUCUGGGAGUGAGGAGAAACUGUGUGGCUGUGACGGUACUGUGAACUAGCUGGACUCAGCAAGUAGCAGCCAUCACAUACCUUCUGAAGACCUUCAGGUUGCAAUACGGGGCCCGAUUCCCUGUAGCUGCUGUGUGUCCUGGGCGAGGUCCAGGUAGGUUUGGUUUGCUGUUUAGGGCAAGCCUCCAGGUCAUACAGCCAGUGAGGAGCAUGUGGACGUUGGCUCCCAACCUGUUAUUCAGCCCCUUAAAUAGGAUCUCCUACUCAGCCAAAACAUAAGAUAUACCCUUAUGUGGCCUAAUAACCUGUGGCCUUUGCAUUUGAGGAUGCUGUGUCCUCUUGGGCUGAAGGGAACAGCACACAGGAGACCAGGAGUAACUGAAGUGAGCAGAUGCCAUGUUUACCCUUCGAAUAGCAUCUGCCCUGGCCUCUGGAAGCUCCUCCCCCUUGCUGCACUGGCUGGCUUCCAGUGCUAUGGGACAGAGGCCGUGUUGUCUGGCCUGAGAAACUGCACACACUGCUUUAGCUCUCCCACAUGAAUUAACACCCGAUCAGCGUGAGCUCUGACCAGGAUGAUUAUGAAACACAUUCUCAAAUCAUUAUUAGAUCAGAAACCUUUUGCUUACUUCCGAUGUAAGUUUUAUUCAGGCGAAGGAGGUGGAAGAGUAACUAACCCUACCGUUUAAUUAACCCUAAAGGCCGCUCAUUAGACACUUGGAUUCAGGCGCAGGGCUCCCUUCUUGCUGUUGCAGUGUGUGUAGAUCGCCCCCUAGUGGUCCUCAGGGUGCGCAUUCAGAGGUGCAAGUUUCCAGAGACCUGCCAAUGAUCUAGCUCAUAUUGACUCGUUUCUGACUGAAAAUUGGUGCCUUUCAUCUGUGCUGAUGGAUUUUCUUUGCAGUUUGUCCCUGAUUUUCCUUUAUGAAACAAUUUUGUCCAGAGGCAGAAGAAAAUCACCACUAAAAGGACCCAGGGUAGGGCAUAAAAUAGGCUAAUACUUUAUAUAACCAUAGCCAAGCUGGUAUUUAGUUCUUUCUCUUGAACCUAUAAUCAUGUCAUAACGGGGAUUUCAUUAGAAAUACACAUGAAUCUCACAAUUUAAACCGUUUUAAAGUUACAUUUAUUAAUUUAUUUGGGGGGGAGGGGGGCUGUCUGUGCCACAGUGCACAUGUGGAAGUCAGAGGACAACUUGGGGAGUCUGUUCUCUCCUGCCACCCUGUGAGUCCCAGGGACUGAACUCGGGUCAUCAGACUUGGUGGCAAGCACCUGUCUCCACUGAGCCAUCUCACCUGUCCCUAUAUUUUAAGCACUUUUAGUGUGGUGACAACAGGCACAUUCAUAACCCCACCCCCACAGGCCUUUCACUGACCCUGACAGGAGUCCCUGGCCCCCUCACCUUUCCCUCAAACUCUCUGCAGGUCCUGUUGCACUCUCUGACCCCUAGACACUGUCUAUUCUAAAGCGGAGUGCAGUCUUGUGGGACCAAGUCCUAGGCCACACCAUGUGCUGUGAGACGCUCUGAAAUGCGUAUCGAGAUGGAGAGCUUUCAGUAGGUGUCGCCCAGAGAACUGGGUGCUGGUGGAGAUGACCACUCCCAUUUCCGGCAUACAGGGGUUUUUGUACUGAGUGUUGAGCACUGGGGGUUUGGGAAAAUGGCUAGCUUUUAAAAUAUACUCCUAGGAUGAUGGCCAGGAUGAUUAUGAAACACAUUCUCAAAUCACUAUUAGAUCAGAAACCUUUUGUUUACUUCAGAUGUAAGUUUUAUUCAGGCAAAAGAGGAGGAAGAGUAACUAACCCUAUAGGUUAAUUAACCCUAAAGGCCGCUCACUAGACACUUGGAUUCAGGCACAGGGCUCCCUCCCUUCGAAGUUCCUGGAUUUAAGCAGCCAACAGAUUUAAGUUUCCAGUGGAAACGCCAUUUUCAUUCCCACCAGCAAUGUAAGGGUUCCUUUUCCCCUAUAUUCUCACCAGCGUUUGUUAUUAUCUGUCCUUUAUGUAAUUCCAUUCCUAGUAGAUUUGUGACCUCAUCGUAAGUUUAUUCUCUUCUUGUCUUUAAAGUGAGCAUACCACACAUUUAUAAAAACAGUUAAGCUUUGUUUUUCUUUUCUGAGCGGGGAUGCUUACCUGCAUCUAUGUAUGUGCACCAUGUGGCUGCAGUACAUACCAAGAUCAGAAGAGGGCGCUAUAUCCCCUAUGAGCUGCUUGAUGUGGAUGCUGGGAACUGAACUGUGGUCCUCUGCACGAGCAUAACACGUUCUUAACUGCUGAGCCAGCCCUCCAGCUCCAUAAAUCCUUUCUAUGCAACAUAAUGCACUGUAUAAACUAGGUACUUUUUUAGUUUUAGUUUUCUUCUUUUUACUAAAUUCCCCCUUUAGUAAAUAAAAUCUCUCAAUCUAAACUCAAUUAUAACUUUAAUUUUUUUCAAAUCCUAUUUUUAAUGGUGGUUCUUAAAUGCUUUAGCCUUCCUUGUAGCCCACCACCUACCAGAGGUGGUAGACAAGAAAGAAUAUAGGAGAAGUGAACCUGUUUAGAAAGGAUUUUUUGGAGUAGCUCCUGUCUAUGUGGUCUGGAAAUCAGCAGUUCAGUUCCCAGGUCAGCAGGCAGUGGCGGCUCCAUCCACUUGCAGACACCUCACAGACACAUCAGCAGUCCAGUUGGGGAGAGUCGGGUUAGCAACAGCAGUGACACGACCUAGCAGAGACAGCCAGGCCUCAGCCUCAGCUCAGGUCAGCAGGAGGGACCUGGAAGGGACACCAGGAGAAAUUCUCAGCUGUGCCUCUCUCAAGGAAGCAAAGAUCAGCAAAGACGUCGGACACUCAAGCACUGCACAGCUAGCUGUACCAGCAAGCCAAGCUCUGUCUCCAUCACUCUGUGGAGUCCUAUUUAUAUUCUCUGAACAUCACGUGUCCCCCACUGACACAUACCUUGCCCCAACACAUGCAUCUAAUCAGCCCAAGUCCUUGGAAGUGGCAAGGACAAAGUGCAGGGCUCCACCAGAAGGGUUUUGGUGCAUUUGUUUCUAUGGUAUCCCGACAAAUGCAAUGUAAGGCGGACCAAUACACAUGAGUCAUUAGCAAAGAAUCCUUCAUCACGUGUCCUUUCGAGUGCUUGCUUUAGCAGAGCAUCCUCUCUCCUGUCUGUGUCUGCUUCAGGGAAAUGUUCCUUCACGAGUCUGCCUUAGCCUUGCACACCUGUGUCCAUUUUAACAAAACAUUCCUUCAAGUGUUUGCCCCAGCAAAACACCAUCCAACUGACUUUCCAAAGAACCCUCAGGUUUUCACUUCACUCAUUUGUUGCUGUUUUAAUUGAUAUGAAUAGAAUUAAAAUUCUUCUGAUAUUAAAUCAUACUUCAGAAGUCUUGUCUUUCAACUAUGACUCCAAAAAUUACUUUUUAGAAAAGAUCUAUGUGAAUGGGUAUAUAUAUGCACCACUUGCAUGCCAGGAACUGGAUGCAUGGAUUAAUCUGGAACUGGAGCUACGAGCUAGAGUUGUGAGCUGCGAUUUUAUUUACUUUGAAUGAAAAUAAAAUAUUCUUAAGGAUACUCAACUUGCUUAUCUCUCCUUACCCAUGAAGAAACACACGAUGGGUCACUAACCAGAGUCUGAAGAGAUCUGUGCUGCAUCACCAACCACUCAGGCUGACUUGUGGUCCAUUCUGCACAUCUCAUCAUAAGCGUCUCCAGUGGUCUGUGGCCAGAGCUGCAGUUUAGUAAGAUGCUGGAGCUGGGAGAACUUAAAGGGAGCUGCAGAACCAAAAAGCUUAGUGUCAUGGUGACAACUCACAAUAGCUGCAGUUUUGGAGCUCUCUGCUAGAUCUGCAGAUGACCUUUCAGUCAGAGUCUUCUCUUUCAAGCAGUUGUGAUUUCCUGGGUAACCUUGGGAACCUUUAAGUCUUGUAAGUUUUAGGAGCUUCCUGUGCCUCCUGAAUUUGACUCAGAUCCUGAGUCUUAAAGAACCUCUCUCCCGGGGUUGGGGAUUUAGCUCAGUGGUAGAGCGCUUACCUAGGAAGCGCAAGGCCCUGGGUUCGGUCCCCAGCUCCGAAAAAAAGAACCAAAAAAGAAAAAAAAAAAAAAAAAAAAAAGAACCUCUCUCCCAGAAGGGGCCUUUCCAUUUGGAUGAAAACACUGUAUAGCACAGAGCUUUAAACUUUUGGGGAAGUAAUUGGUCCAAGAUUAACUUUUAGUCCCAGAUGUGUGGGUAACAAAGAUGAGAUUAACCUGUGGAACCAGAGGGAGCUCACUUGUGUGUUCCCAAUUUUUGAAGGGUUAAUUCAACCCAGAAUUUUUCUAAAUUAGACCCAUGUCCUCCUUCCCUGGGACCUGUGGAUGGAUUGGCUAUUGUUGGCACGCGGAUAGUUUUUUUACAUGCUACAAAAUCUGUCUGUAGUCUCCGUCCGUCUGUCAUAUCUAUUUCUAUGCUUCUAUCUAAAUUUGAAAAUUUCUGAGAGGCAUAAAAUCAGAUGUAAUUUUUCUUCCCAAAUGUAGAUACCUUUUUCCAGCUUGGAUUUUAUGGAAAGAAUCACAGGCAUUGAAUGUUGUUUGUCGUGUGUAAGGAAAACCACAGUCGCUGAUAUCCUUUGGCCCUUGAUCAGCCAGGCUGUCUCCAAGGAUGGAAGGAUGCUCUAACGACCAGCAGAGGGAGCCAGGGAACUCGAGGCACUGAGCUCAGAAGCAGUACAAACAAAAGACUUGGAAGUUUUCAUUAUUAAAGCAAGCAAAGCUGAAGACAGGCUUACAGUCAGAUACAAGCAGAGCAUCUUAACUCUGGCCACGUGAACAGAGCCGAGAGCAUUCCCCCAGGCCUUUGCCUUUCCCACAAAGAUGAUGAAGACACGUCAGGGCACUCUCUUCAUGGGCUUGCUUUCAAGUCCACCCACUUACCACAGUUUGGCAGCUCUUUGGAGAAAGCUACCUUAUGGGAAGAACAGUCUUCCCUCUGCCCCAUUCAUAGUUCACAGCCUUCUUACAUAGGCUGUCGUAGCAGGUGUGUCAGUGCUCCCCCAGUCCUGCUCACGGGCUUGCCGAGGUCUUCACAAUGGCUUUGUUACCUUGGCUGCUAUUCCUGCUUCUGACUGAUCCUAGAUACAGUUUACUUAGAGAUUACAUACAUUCUGCUAAGCUGGUCAUUUCAUUUGUUUUCAGGCACAGAAAUUAAGUAUAAGAGUAUUACUGCUCUUCAGGACACAGAUGUAUCUCGAGUAAUCAAUGGUCUGGUUCUCUCGCCUAUUCACGAAUGAACCUGUUGAUCUUGCUAUGUUUGCUUAAGGCCAUCAGACUUCUGCUGAAUCCUUUUUAGCUUUCUGGAAAGCAGAGGAAGACCUAUAUCCAGGAGGUGUGUGUGUGGCUUUGUGACAGUCCUCUGCUUGGAUGUCACCGCCUUUGUCAUGUACUCUGUAUGCCCACGGGAAACUUUAAUCUCCGACAGCAAAACAGAAAGCUGACUUGUAAUAGAAGGUAAAAACCAUAGUGUAGAUUCUGGAUUGAGUGUGUUUAUCUGUAUCACCUUACACUUAAAGUAGUUUACAACUGGAAAAUGGAGGCUGGAGAUACGGUUCAGCAGUUAAGCGCACGGGAUGCUCCUGCAGAGGGCUCACAGUGGAGUCCUACCACCCACAUUACUUGGCUCGCUAUGACUCCAACACCAGGGAAUCUGAUGCCAGGGGAUCUCCUGGCGUCCGCCGACACCCCCAUGCACACGGGACACAUACACAGUCAGGUACACACGCAUACACAUAAAGCGAGUAAGUAAACACAUCUUUAGAGUUAGCAGACGCAUGACGGCUGUGAACUUGCUUCACACUGUGAAUGCGUGUUCUCCGGGAUGUAGCUUUUGGAGACUUCGCAUGAUCUUUCAGGAAAAGACACAGGUGGCUGUUGUGCUCACCAAAUGUAAUCAUCAGCUCAUGAAAGCAUUUGCUUAUUUAGCUGGUAAAUACCUGUUUGCGGUGCUGGGACUGGAGCCAGUUUUGAAAAUUGGCUGAUUCUGAAUGCGAUACAGUGGUUUGAUUUCCGUCUCCCAUACCUUACUGGGGGAACCCCUGAAGUAUAUCUGUGUCAGGGAAAUACAGGAGACCAACCGCUAGGACAGACAGCCUUAAGGCAGGCAGGUGAUGUUAGGUAGACUUGUUCUGUCUCAGAAACCUUGAGAAUCGGUCUGAUCUGAGUAAGUCCCCACUCAGGGCUUAGCCAGCAUGCCUGAGAGUCUUCUAGCACCCUGGUUUGUUACGUCUACAUAAUAACCGACACUACACCUAAUUCGAGAGGUCAGUCUUAGAAGGAUAGAACCAGGGCUUGCGAGUGGGAGAGAUUGUGUCUGUCAGGGCAGAGGGGACACUAAUGAAGAGCACCACCUGCCUCCACGUGGCAGGUUUAACUUCUCUCUUUCACAUCCUGGAGAUUUUCUUCCCAUGGGGCCCUUAAUGCCUCUGUGCAGCGCAGCCAUAGCAAGAGCAGUGUCUCCUCGGCAACAGUAAGCCAACCCCAUGCUUUCUUGAACACAGCUGCUCCAGGUUGGGGAAAUCUGUUUCGGUUCAUGGCUGGUCCUUUUCACCCACGAAACCAUCGGUCGAGGAGAUUUUCACACAGUUGCUUAGAGCGUGACUCUGGUCCCCCCCCCCAGGCUGUUUAGCAUUUUGCCGUGAGGAUUGCCCCAAAGCACACAGAAAGCAUUACAGAAAUGAUGCCUUCAGCAUGUCACCCUCACCAGCAGGAGUGGAGGGGCAGGUGACAAGCAGAGGGUCUGGGGUGCACUUCCAGAUCCGUGGUUUUACCCCUGCUUUGUGACCUUUGGCCACUUGCUUUUUCUUCCUCUCAAACAGAGGCCACAGCAGAAUUGUAAUGUAAUGACCAAAUCAACGUGCAUAAAAACACCUGAGCAUAGCUAAGUUCUCAGGGAUAUUUAGUUGUUACUGUUGUCCACGUAAAUCAGAAUUCUGACCUUGCUCCCGGAACUGACAUCAGGUGGCCAAUCAGGUCGGCAAUGUUGUAGGAAACGAAUUUGUAUCAGGCAUUCCUGUCAUCGAAUGAGCAGCACCGCUAAUUACCCAGCGCUCUGAAAGUACAGCCAGGGCUAGCCCAGGCUCUGCCCCGUGCCAGAUCACAGUCUACGGGGACGUGAGGGCACACUUCUGGCAUUGAUCUCUUCAGGGAAGAGGGGGAUGAUGGCGGGCUUAGAGAGACAGCAGGACGGCACGGGCGGUUAGCAUGAGAACGUGUGCAGGCGACUGUCUGAAACACGGCAUGCGUUCUUCACGAUACCACUUUAUUCUGUCUUCUUACUUCGUCAUGAUGAGUCUCUAGCUUUGGGGGGUACAGUUCUGUUGUUUCCUCAAAUUGUUCUUGUCAAAAUGCACCCGACCUUGAGAGAAGAAGGAAGGCUCAGAUGCAAUCUAAAUCUUUUAUGGAAAAUCUGACAGUUGUUAUAAUAUUUACAAGUUAAAUAUAAUGGCCCAGCGUCUAGAUUUGUUUUAGAGACCAUCUAAACGUCUAGAUUCCUCCAUGUCGUUCCUAGGGUCCAAGGAAAGGUGUGCGGCCAUUAUGUUCAAGCACACUUGAGAACAAUCUAGGUAAUUCCACCUUCGGUUCAGCUUCAGUGAGAAAAUUAAGAUACAUGAAGUAUAAAAAUCUGUCUGGGGCCACAAAAUGAGUUAUCGGCCUAAGAGCCUGCUGCUCUAAGAGGCAGUACAUUGCUGGUAAAAGAUGACCAACACCAUGAUUAAAAAUACUGCUUUAACUGGCAGAUCCUAAUUAUAUAAUUUAUGAGGACUCAAUGAUACUUGACAUAUUAUAUAAUGAGGAAUGAGAAAAAUAAUAGAAUAAUCCUCUUACAUAAUCAAUAUAAUUAAUUAGUCAUUUACUUUAUUGUACAUGCAUUCACACACACACCCUUGGCCUUCCAAUAUUUUAACAUAACUAACAAAAUGGGAGUCACAAACUUUGAGUAAUUCAUGUGAACUAAUAUAUGAAUGAGGAAAUUUUAAGUAUUUAAUACCGGCCGGCUUUGGGGACUAGCGUAAGAAUUUGGACAGAAUCAUAGGAUUCUGUAAAGUGAGUCACUUUAGAAUUGACUUUAGAAUAGGAAAAUGUCAACAAAACCCCACCAUACUGGGGCAGUUUUUAGAAUCCACAAAUUUACUCCUGAAGCUAGUUUUGAUCUAUCUGUAGUCAUAGUGGGUCUCUGCUAAGGAACUCUAAAGAACUGAGGCCCUUUAAACUUGGGCAUCAGGGCAGGGCCAGUACAAACACAGGUCCCCAGGUCUCAGUCCCUUGUCACAGUCCACUCACUGGCUUGAUGGGGAGAGGGCCAGUGACUUGCCUCUUCCUGCUACCUACUCUGGUUUGGUGAGUCUCAGAGGGAAUCACACUGCAAAAUUCCACCUCAGGAUUAGAUGUGGAGGCCGUAUGGUUUGGUAAGAUGUGCAAGUGCUUCAUGCUGUGGACCACCCUCUGACAGAAGCUCCCUUAGUUCUUAUGCUGGGAGUCAUGCAACUUCGAGAGGCUGGUUGCUGGUAGAAAGAGUCUUAGAGGAACUGCUGGGCCUCUUCACUGCCCAGAACCCGACAGAGCAGAGACCCAGUUCUUUCCUAAGGCAGCAGUACGAGGAGCUUUCAAUUUGUGGAUUCCAAAAAUUUGUGCAAGUGGUGGUAGGAUUUUCUUGACGUUCUUGUCUGAGAGGGACACAUGCAUCUCCUGACAUCAGUGCUUCCUGGGAGCCUUUCCUGGUAGCCAUGAGGCCCUCAUCUCACCCCCUACCUAUCCUUCCCUGGACAAUUAGGACCAAGUAGGUCUCCUCUCUCAGUAUGUGUCAUGGCUGCAAUGUAACCCAAACCCCGGGGUUGGAGAGAACUGUUUAAGGACCUCAUGUUCCAGGUGGCGUGACGGAAGGACAGCACGGGUUCUUCACAGAGAUGUCAAGCAGGUCUCCCUGUCUUCCUUGGGCUUAAGAGCAGGAACAUGGGAACAAUGCACAUGGGAAGUCUCCCCUCCCGGGAGGUUGGGUAGAGUCUCACGGCUUAGCAUCAUUUAAACCACAAAGCAGAUAUGUUCCUAGAUAUGUUUCCCGGGAGGCAGCCCUCUCCUCCCUACCCCUUAAAAAAGCAGCUUAAGUUUCCCUCCCUCCUCCUCAGGAGAGCAGCUCCAGUGACAGAACUUUCUUCUGCUGCUCCCUCUUCGUUUGCAGACUUUUCUGGAGCUCACAUUUGAACUUAGGACCUCGAGCAUUCACAUCUACUCUACCGCUGAGCCCCAUGCCCACCAAUUUAGUCAGCGCUCUCCCCUCAAUACUGUGAUUACAGCCUGGUACCACCCUGCUGGCUUUUGGGGGGCUGCGGGGUGCUAAGGGUUGAACCCAGGUCUUUAUGCAUGCAUAGUCUUCCACCUGAGCUAUAACCCCAGUCUUGAGAGAAAACCUUCUUAAAAGACAGAUUUUAUGAAUUUAUUCCAGGUUUUCACAAAGUUCAAACACAGAUGUUACACGGGUGACCUUUUUAUUUUAAAAGCAUCUGUGCCCGAUCCCCAAAUCCGGUUUCUGGCAGACAUUUCUUUAACUUAGAAGGUCCCUGAGCAUUCUGUGAGACCCUCCUCUCACUAACGAUGCGCUCCGAACGGGAAAUGCGCUUGCGCUAUGGAUGGCUGCUUAUAAACCUCUGAAUGUAUGACGUGUGUGAAUCUGCCCAGGGCUAGCAUAAACACACCCAUCUGACUGUGUUCUGGCAAGAAUGCAAUCGUGUCCUGUUUGUAGGGCGAAUAUCUCAUCGGAGCAAACAACACGUCAGAAAUAACUCUCGUCGGCUAGAGAAACGGCUCCCGGGGCUUUACUCUCGUUACAGAUGACCCAGUUCAGUUCCCAGUACCCACAUCAGGUUGUUUAUAACUGCCUGUAAGUGUAGCUGCAGGGAAUCCGAGGGUCUCUUCUCAAGGCAGCUGUACUCAUGUGGACAUAUCUUUACACAGACAUGUACACACAUUCAUACAAUUUUAAAAUAAAUCCUUUUCUAAAAAAAAAAAAUAGUUAAUCUUCACAUGCUCGGUCCUUUCCUCGAGUUGAUUUGAUUCCCGGGACCACUCCGCAUACAACAGACACAUACAACAGACACAUACAACAGAAAUAACAGUGCUGGUCUGCUCGGCCUGUUCCAGUCGAGUCAGCUGUGCUAGCUCUCUGGGUAGAACACUGACAGUACUGCAGACAGCAGCCCCUUCCAGAGAAGAGCAUGCGCAAAGGGGCUUCUCUCGAUGCGCUAACAGCACCGGGUGUGUUUUUUUCUCAGCUGAUUCCGGUGGUGUCUCUCUGGCCUCUGCCUUGGGGGCAGGCAGCUCAGCAAUUCUUUACAAUUUUCUAGCAGCUGGGCUCUUGGAUUUGCCAGGCUGUAGCGGAGAUGGUGGGCCUGCUACUACUGCCCCCUUGCGGAUGUAUGGUGAAGUUCCUUCAGGGACUUUCCAUGAUCGGUUUUUCUUUUUAAAUAUGGGUGUGCUAUUCCCAUGGGACCCAGGGGUCAUCCUUGGGUAACAUCCUUAGGAAGUCUACCCACCUCUGAUAAAACAGGGUUUCUCGCUAGCCUAGAGUUAACAACUAGGCUAGACGGACUGGCCACAGGCCUUAGGAAUCCUCUUGUUUCUGCCUCUCCAGUGGUGUUUUAUUUAUUUUUUUUGUUCUCUCUCUCUCUCUCUGUCUCUCUGUCUCUCUCUCUCUCUCUCUCUCUCUCUCUCUCUCUCUCUCUCUCUCUCUCUCUUCCUCCUCCUUCCCCCCUCCCCCUCCUCCUCCUCCUCCUCUUCCUCCUUCUUUUGGUCUUUUUUUUUGAGCCUGAGUUUCACUACGCAGCCCUGGCUGUUCUGGAAUUCACCCUAUAGACCAGGCUGGCCUUGAACUCAGAGAUCUGCCUGCCCUUGCUGGGAUUAAAGGUGUGUGCCACCAUUGCCCAGCCACGCCUGGCAUUUUUAUGUGGGUCUGUGGAACCAAACUUGGGUCCUUGUGUUUGUAAGGCAAGCACUCUACAAAUGAGCCACACGCGCCCCAGCGCCGUUCUUAGGGUGUUGUGUUGUUGUUGUUGCUGUUGCUGUUGUUUGUAGCUCAGAGAUUAGUUACACAGCAAUCUUACUAGAAGAGAAGAAGCUACUAAUAGGUUUCUUCCCCUCACAGGUUUGGUCACUCCUCUGUACUGAUUGCCGAUAAAUGGUCAUAAAGAAAAUUCCAGUCACAAGGGCACUGAUAUGUGCAGAUAUUCCACCCCACCCUCUAAAGUGACUUACCUGAGUGAGCUCGGUGUAAGCAACGAUCUGAUUAAAUUAAAACUCAGUGUCAGGGCUACUGGGGGGGGGGCUGAACAAGUCACCGUGAAACAUCUACGGGACGUGAAGAAGCCAAGGACAAUGAUGGGAAGUGACCACUGUCCCAGGACUUUGAUUAACUGAGGCCAGAGGAUCCCUACUCUGUCAAUGAAGAGGAACCUAAGAACUUAAUAUUCUAGGAUAUGGUCUUAGAUAGGUGUCCCCAGUCACAUUCGGCUUAAGGGCGGGAAGAGGAGACAGAGUCCUGAUACCGUUUGAUCUCAGGCUUCACUCACUACAAUGACAAGCAUCAGUCCACCACACAGGCAUGGGUACCCGACUCAGAAGCAAGUGGCAGAGAGACUCAGAGGCGAGGCUUGCAAUCUGUCCAUCACUUAUUGUGCCUCGGGUGGCUCCUUCCUCUGGAUCCCCCAUCUCGAUGCAGCCAAGGCAGCUGUCAUUCUUCAGUGGGAGAGCCAGGGAGCAUAAUCUGUCACAGCAUCAAGGUCUCUGCCUGCUUCGAGCCUCUCCUUCUAUUAGCUACAAGGGACAACAGCCACACUGUAGCCAAUCACACUCCAGCAUUACAUUGAAAGACCCCAGCUUAGCAGCAGUAACGCCAUUUUGCAAGGCUGUACUUAAGAUGACUGGUUCAGAAAAAGGUUAGAACACUGAGUACACAGCGGCUGCCAAGCAGGAUGUGUUUGGUUGAAGGCCUGGCAACAGGACGACUUCGGUUGAGCACCUGACAAUGAAAAAAAAGCCCCGGGAGAGGUCCCACACCCUGGUGGGGGGCUGAGUCAGUUGUUAUGUUCCAGAAAGGUAGCUAAGAAACUUGCCCCCGGGCUGAACCCUUGGGGGGCCGAGUCAGCCGUUAUGUUUCAAGAAGGUAGCUAGGAAACUUGCUCCCGGGCUAAACCCUUGCCAUAUUAGAAUCCACCAAUUAUAUCCCUGUAACCAUGCAUCUGCUUCUGUAUGCUUGCUUCUGCUCCCCAAAAUCCUAUAAAAGCCCAUCCUUGGUUCCGUGGGGCGCGCCAGUCCCCCGAGUGACUGAAGCGCCCGCAGGUGCCUGUGCCUGUGUAUCCCGACAAUAAACCAAAUCCUCUUGCUGAUUGCAUCCUGUGGUGUCUCGGUCUGGUCUUUGGAGUUGGAGGGUCUCCAUCCCGAGGGAAAGUUCUCCCAGAGAGCUUUUCAUUUGGUGCGUUGGCCGGGAAAGGAGAUCCUCCACCCAGGGACCACCGACCACCCACUGGGAGGUAAGCCGGCCGGCGUCUGUUUGUCUGUCUGUCUGUCUGAUUCUGUCUCGUUCUGCCUUAUUCUGUCUGUUCUGUGAGCACUCAGCCAGGUCUGUUCUGUGAGCGCUCAGCCAGGUCUGUUCUGUGAGCGCUCAGCCAGGUUGUUUGGAAUUUGGGCGGGACGAAGAAGGAGCUGACGAGCUCGGACUUCUCGCCCCGCAGCCCUGGAAGACGUUCCAAGGGUGUUAGGGGCCCGACUUUUCGGGGCCCAAUCUGAGAGAGGAGAAAGAUCCGGACUAACGGCACUCUGUCUGUAUUUUUGGCUUUCAGAGGGCCCCGGACCUUUGCCACCUCCAUCUGACUUUUUGCUUUCAGUUUGGUACCAAAGCCGUGCAGCACGCCUGUCUGUUGUUUGUUUGACUGUUGGUGUUGUUUGUUUUCUCUGUGUCCUAAUCUUCCUUAGAACUAACAUGGGACAGUCCCUAACAAUGCCCCUAAGUCUCACUCUUGAUCAUUGGAAAGACGUCCACGACCGGGCACACAACCAGUCCGUCGAGGUUAAAAAAAAAAAAAAAAAGAAAAUGACAGACUCUCUGCACAUCCGAGUGGCCCACUUUCGGAGCGGGAUGGCCAGUGAAUGGCACAUUUAAUAAGAUCAUUAUUUUACAGGUUAAAGAUCGGGUCGUCCACGGACAUCCUGACCAGGUUUCUUAUAUUAUCACUUGAGAGAGUCUCGCCUUAAACCCCCCCCCCCGGGCGGAACCCUUCGUGGACCCGAAUUGGCCUCCCCUCAACCCCCAGCCUGUCCCCUCGGCCCCGCCCGGUCUGCCGGCCACGUCUUAAGAAACCUGUCCUCCCGGCAGACCCAAACUCCCCUCUCAUAGAUCUUCUCUCUGACAGGCCCGGCUGAAAUGGAGGAGGCAGAGCCGCCGGCCAGAUCAGUUGCCGGGCCACAGUCUGAUAAGGGUUUCUCCCCUGUCGCAGGGAGGUUGCACAAUAAGCGCGAGGUGAUGCCAGAUUCAACCUCCCAGGCUUUCCCACUUAGACAGGGAACCGGUGGCCAGACCCAAUACUGGCCGUUUUCAGCAGCUGACAUUUACAAUUGGAAACAACACAACCCUUCUUUCUCCAAAGAUCCGGUGACACUCACCGACCUAAUAGAAUCUGUUUUACUUACCCACCAGCCUACUUGGGAUGACUGCCAACAGCUCUUACAGGCCCUCUUAACCUCAGAAAAAAAAAAAAAAAACAAAGAGUGUUCCUAGAGGCCAGAAAGCAUGUUCUGGGAGAUGAUGGGCGUCCCACCCAGCUGCCUGAGGACCAAACUGGGAUUUUAAUACAGCUGAAGGUAAGGGACACCUACGCCUUUAUCGCCAGUUGCUUCUAGCGGGUCUCUGAGGGGCUAUACGAUGCCCUACUAAUUUGGCUCAGGUAAAACAGGUAUUACAGGAAGCAGGGGAAACUCCCUCCGCCUUUCUAGAGAGACUUAAGGAGGCCUACCGUAUAUACACUCCCUAUGACCCAGAUGACCCAGGACAAAUGACGAGUGUCUCUAUGUCCUUCAUCUGGCAGGCUGCUCCAGAUAUCAGGACUAAGUUACAGAGGUUAAAAAAUUUGCAGGGCUAUACAUUACAGGAUUUACUUAAAGAAGCUAAAAAGAUUUUUAAUAAGAGAGAAAAUUGAGUCGAAUCUUGGCCGCCGUAGUUCAGGGCCAAGAAAGGAAGGGAGAUAGGGGGGAGCUCGAAAGGGGCUAAAGCUGGAUAAAGAUCAAUGUGCCUAUUACAAAGAGAAAGGGCACUGGGCCAGAGAGUGCCCCAAGAAGCCUGGCGGACCCCGAAAGCCUCGACCACGAACCUCCCUCUUGGCUCUAGAUAAAGAUUAGGGAGGUCAGGGCCAGGAGCCCCCCCUGAGCCCAGGGUAACGCUUAAAGUUGGGGGGCAGCCGGUUGCUUUCCUGAUAGACACAGGAGCCCAGCAUUCAGUCCUCACUCAAGCUUCAGGACAACUCAGCGACCGGACGGCCUGGGUACAAAGAGCUACUGGUGAGAAACAAUACCGAUGGACUACGGACCGCCGGGUUCAGCUGGCUACUGGUAAGGUGACCCAUUCCUUCUUACAUGUUCCGGACUGCCCGUACCCUCUGCUGGGCCGUGACCUGCUCACCAAACUAAAAGCACAAAUUCAUUUUGAGGAAGGAGGGGCCCAAAUAGCUGGCCCCCACGGAACUCCCCUUCAAGUUCUAACCCUAUGAACCGGGACAGGACACUGGCUUGGACAGAGACUGGUGGGAUGGGGUUGGCGCUCCAACAGCCCCCCUUAAUUACAACUCCAGUCUCCAUAAAACAAUACCCCCUGUCACAUGAAGCUUAUCAAGGUAUAAGGCCUCACAUUAUGAGGCUUCUGGAUCAAGGCAUCCUAGUCCCCUGCCGGUCGCCUUAGAAUACGCCUCUUCUGCCUGUUAAGAAACCCGGCACUGGAGAUUAUAGGCCAAUACAAGACUUGAGAAAAGUCAACAAGAGGAUAGAAGAUAUUCAUCCGACUGUUCCAAACCCUUACAAUUUGCUCAGUAACUGUUCAUCGAUGAGAAACAGGGGUAUGCUAAAGGGGUCCUAACACAAAGGUUGGGACCCUGGAAACGCCCUGUGGCCUACCUGUCUAAGAAAUUGGACCCUGUGGCCUCCGGCUGGCCACCGUGCCUAAGGAUGGUGGCUACUAUUGUUGUCCUGAUCAAGGAUGCUGGAAAAUUGACUUUGGGACAGCCACUCACCAUCCUAACACCCCACGCAGUGGAGGCCUUGGUAAAACAGCCCCCAGACCGCUGGCUCUCUAAUUCCCACAUGACCCACUACCAAGCCUUGUUACUGGAUGCAGAACGGGUUCAGUUUGGGCCCGUAGUCGCCCUCAAUCCUGCCACCUUGCUUCCUCUACCAGAGGAGACAGAACAACAUGACUGACUACAAAUCCUCGCAGAAGUACAUAGAACCAGGCCGGACCUAUCGGACCAGCCUCUUCAGAAUGCUGACCACACAUGGUACACAGAUGGCAGCAGCUUCUUGGCAGAGGGAGAGCGAAAGGCUGGAGCUGCGGUCACUAUGGAGGACAAAGUGAUUUGGGCGAAAGCCCUGCCUGCUGGUACCUCCGCACAACGGGCUAAACUCAUCGCCUUGACUCAGGCGCUCAAGAUGACAAAAGGUAAGAGGCUAAAUAUAUAUACAGACAGCCGUUAUGCCUUUGCCACGGUACACAUCCACGGGGAGAUCUACCGGAGGCGGGGGCUGCUCACAUCUGAGGGUAAAGAUAUGGCUAAAAUUCUGGCCCUCUUAGAAGCCCUAUUCUUGCCCAAAAGACUGAGUAUUAUACAUUGUCCAGGACACCAAAAAGGGCACAACCCAGAGGCACGAAGAAACCGGCUGGCCGAUGCCACGGCGCGAGAAGCAGCCAUGAGCAAACAAAUCUUGACCUUAAAUAGCCCAGACCAACCCACGCCCCCACCAGUGGGACAAACCAGUUGGGUUUAUGCCCAUGAGGACAUAGAGCUCCUAGAAAAAAAAAUGGGGGCCAUCUACCACCCUCAACUAAAACAGUGGGUCUACAAAGGAAAGACAGUUAUGCCAAUAAAAAUGACUUUUAAAUUGAUCUCCUUUUUACAUAAAUUAACCCAUUUGGGGUUUAAGAAGAUAAAAACCUUACUAGAUCGGGAAGAGAUAAAUCUGUGUUUUUUUUUUUUUUUUAAAUCGGGACAAAGCGAUACAAAAGGUAACUGAGAGUUACAAAGCGUGCGCUCAGGUUAACCCGGGAAAGACCAUGAUUGGACAAGGAGUUCGUCCUAGGGGACACCGUCCCGACAUCCAUUGGGAAAUUGAUUUUACUAAAAUUAAACCAGGUAUAUAUGGAUACAAGUAUCUCCUAGUGUUUAUAGACACCUUCUCAAGAUGGGUCGAAGCCUUCCCCACAAAACACGAGACUACAAAAAUGGUCACCAAGAAGCUCCUCGAGGAAAUCUUUCCCAGCCCUUCUCUGAGGGCCCAUUUACAGGCCCUACAGAUUGUGCAGAGAGACGUCUGGAGACCUUUGGCCGCUGCUUACCAGGACAAGCUUGAACAUCCGGUGGUGCCACACCCGUUCCAGAUUGGAGACACCGUGUGGGUGCACAGACACCAGACCAAGAAUCUCGAGCCACGGUGAAAAGGACCCUACACCGUCCUCCUGACUACCCCGACCGCCCUAAAGGUAGACGGAGUCUCGGCUUAGAUCCACACACCACACGUCAAGGCAGUCCGGUCUGAGGAAUUGACUAAUCACAACACUACACCCCAGACAUGGAGAGUUCAGCGCACUCCAAACCCCUUAAAGUUAAAACUCCUACGUGGCUCCUCCUAGCCCUUUUGUGGCCUAGAGUCAGUGGGGGAAUAAGCCCCCACCAGACAGAAAUUUCUUGACCAAGUCGAGUGAAAGAUUUCACUCAAAGUUAACAAAAAAAAUGGGGGAAUGAAAGACCCCAGCUUAGCAGCAGUAACGCCAUUUUGCAAGGCUGUACUUAAGAUGACUGGUUCAGAAAAAGGUUAGAACACUGAGUACACAGCGGCUGCCAAGCAGGAUGUGUUUGGUUGAAGGCCUGACAACAGGACGACUUCGGUUGAGCACCUGACAAUGAAAAAAAAGCCCCGGGAGAGGUCCCACACCCUGGUGGGGGGCUGAGUCAGUUGUUAUGUUCCAGAAAGGUAGCUAAGAAACUUGCCCCCGGGCUGAACCCUUGGGGGGCCGAGUCAGCCGUUAUGUUUCAAGAAGGUAGCUAGGAAACUUGCUCCCGGGCUAAACCCUUGCCAUAUUAGAAUCCACCAAUUAUAUCCCUGUAACCAUGCAUCUGCUUCUGUAUGCUUGCUUCUGCUCCCCAAAAUCCUAUAAAAGCCCAUCCUUGGUUCCGUGGGGCGCGCCAGUCCCCCGAGUGACUGAAGCGCCCACAGGUGCCUGUGCCUGUGUAUCCCGACAAUAAACCAAAUCCUCUUGCUGAUUGCA